rnacentral:misc_RNA from 1 species
GCAGAAGAUGAAGAUGAGCAUGGUGAGACUCUUUGUGGGAGCUGUGGAGGGACUUACAGUGCUGAUGAGUUUUGGAUAGGUUGUGAUGUAUGCGAGAGGUGGUACCAUGGGAAAUGUGUGAAGAUAACACCAGCCAAGGCGGAAAUGAUCAAGCAGUACAUAUGCCCUUCAUGCAGCACCAAGAAGCGAAGGCCGUAACAGCCAAACGAAAAGAAACGCUUGGGGAGGUGGUUAACCUCACUGUUUUGCUCACUGAUGUUAUCGUAAAUCACUGAUAGUUAAUCCUUUUUGAUUUCCUUGUUCCUUUUCAUCUUGCUAUCAUAGUUUUU